GCUGAAAAAAACCUAACAGGGAGAGGCAGGAGCUGCAGGAAAGGCAAAAGAGGGCAUCCUGUGUGUAAGAAGAAUCUACAAUACAUCUCUGUGGAAAUCCAAGGGACAAGAAGGGCAGUGACCAGAUAAAGAGAUUGUGUGACAAAGAAGGAGGAUCUUCCUGAGUAGGAUUGGAUGAAGCCAGUUCCUUCUCUGGAUGUGGACAGCACUCUUUCUCAUAAGUCCUCAGAAUUGUCCUGGAUCAUUGCAUUGCUGCUAGUAGAGAAGUCCAUUACA
rnacentral:lncRNA from 1 species